AGCGUUGCUCGGAAUUACUGGGCGUAAAGGGCGCGUAGGCGGACAUUUAAGUCAGAGGUGAAAGCCCAGGGCUCAACCUUGGAAUUGCCUUUGAUACUGGAUGUCUUGAGUUCGGGAGAGGUGAGUGGAAUGCCGAGUGUAGAGGUGAAAUUCGUAGAUAUUCGGCGGAAUACCAGUGGCGAAGGCGACUCACUGGCCCGAUACUGACGCUGAGGCGCGAAAGCGUGGGGAGCAAACAGG
rnacentral:rRNA from 1 species